AGUUCUUCAGAGAAUCUCAAGCAGUAACUGCAAGGAAACUGCGACUUGUCUUUGGAGUUGACACCACCAGAUCUUUGGUCAAGUCAGGGAAGGCUCCAGACUCUCCGUUACUCUCCACAGAUUCUAGGAAUUCCCAGACUCAUCUAGAGAAGGAAUCAGUCUGAAUAUCCUGCUAAGGCAAGGCUACUCAACUCAAUCACUCUGUAAAAGGAUAAAAGUAGAAUACAAGUCAGAUAUCUUGAAGACACUAAGGAAACUCUGAAAGACAGAAGACAGUAGGCCAAUAUAUUCAAAGUGCUAAAAAUAAAAAAUAAAAACCCUUGUCAACCAAGAAUCCUAUAUCCAGAAAAGCUGUCCUUCAAAUGUGAGGGGUAAAUUAAGACAUUCCCAGAAAAACUAAAGCUGAGGGAGUUUGUAAGCACUAGAUCUACCCUACAAGAAAUGUUCAAGAAAUGCUUCAAGUUGAAAUAAAAGGACACUUCAUAGUAACUCAAAGCCAUAUGGAGAAAUAAAAGAUCUCAAUAAAGAAAUCUGAACUGAAAACAGAUGGUUAACUGCGGUGCAGACAGGGCCAGCCAUUCUGUCUAUUGUGGCAGCUGAACAAAGUGUGAGCUACAGAAUCACUGCCCUGAUGGUGACUGAAGCAGAUGAGAGACGGGAGCUCACAAGCAGGAUGCUCAAACUCAGGCCAGGAGUUCAUGUACGAUCCAACUCCCAUCAGUCUGACAAGUCACUCUGAUCCAGCACGAUUAUCCUGUGUAUUUUUUAAACACACACAAAAAAAGAGUUUCAAGUGAGUAU